rnacentral:rRNA from 1 species
UACGUAGGGUGCAAGCGUUAAUCGGAAUUACUGGGCGUAAAGCGUGCGCAGGCGGUUGUGCAAGACAGAUGUGAAAUCCCCGGGCUUAACCUGGGAACUGCAUUUGUGACUGCACAGCUGGAGUGCGGCAGAGGGGGAUGGAAUUCCGCGUGUAGCAGUGAAAUGCGUAGAUAUGCGGAGGAACACCGAUGGCGAAGGCAAUCCCCUGGACCUGUACUGACGCUCAUGCACGAAAGCGUGGGGAGCAAACAGG